rnacentral:tRNA from 1 species
UCCUUGGCUCAGUGGUAGAACAUCUGCUUGGCAUGCGAAAGGUCCCAGGUUCGAUACCCAGAAUCUCAG